UCCAUGUACUUUAGCCUGACAUAAAUAUAUUUUAUUUCUGGGAAUUUUUUCCAAAACACUAUUCCGGAAUUCAUUUCCUUUUAUGACUAGGCAAUUUUGGAAGAAAGGUUAGACAAAAGUUGAGACAAAAUCUUAAUUUCUUUUAAGAUUCAGAAGUUUUAGAAAAUAUAUGUUGAAUUGUAGAAAAAACAUGCCAAAAGAAAGAUCAACAAGGGCGAAAAAGAAGGGAGCUGAAGUUAUUAGAAAUGGAUGAACAAAUAAAAAUGUUGAAGGACCAGUUGAAGUUCAAGAGCAGAUGACCAUUGAGGCAUAAAAAAUAAUGGAUUUAAGGGAGAAUUAGAUGCAUCACCCAGGGAUGAACCGUUGGAUUGAAAAUGGAGAAUUCCAGAUAAUCCGUUCAAGGGUUGUACGAGGGCCUCGUAUUUGGUGACAAAGACAAGGAGGUUUACCCUGAGUUUUUUUUUGUUUUGUUUUUAUUUGUUUUUGCUUCCAUUUGCAUCUGAUAAUAGUGUUGCUCAAUUGUAGUUAUCAAAUACCACUUGUAUGUUUUGGUUGAUGUCAUUAUGGCUAUAGCCUCUCUUUAAGGGUUGUUUUGAAUUAUUUAAGGCUUUCUUGUAAUACAUCUCCAUCACUCAUUUUUCUUAUAUGGUGUAUGGUUUAACUUUUAAUAAAUCCCAUAAAAAGGAAGGAUUAUGUGCACUUUUGUGUUUCAAAUACUGGAACGUGUUUGUUGGUUUGAUGUACAUUCUAAAAUACAGGGUGCGAGUUACCUGAAAUCGCUUUCCUUUAUACACCAUAAUGUUUAAGUAAGUAAGUAAUAUUUAUCUAAAGUCGGCAAUAUACAAUUUAAGCAGUUGGUAAGUAGAAUAAACUAUAAUAGUGAAUAAAUAACAGAUUUAUUUUUCUUCUCUGUGAAAUAUAGCAAAGCCAUCAUCACGAUAAUGCAUGUGCCAGUGGUACUUAAUGCGAUUUUGUUUUAAUAGGAAUCCCGAGCUUGUAACUUAAUUCCGGGCUGGAGCAUUUUAUUGGUAUAUCUGUACUGAAAAAACGUAUUGCAAUAUGAUAUUUUUUGUUUUUACCCUGCCCAUAAAGCCCCAGGGGUGCAGGAGUCCUGAAAAUUACAAUUUAUGUUCCCCUUGUCCGGAAGAUGCUUCAUACCAAAUUUGAAAAGAAUUGGAAUGGUAGUUAUCAAGAAGAAGUUAAAAAUGUUCAAUUGUUAACACAUCACAGACAACUGAUGAUGACAUGCACAGACCAAUUUCAAUGUCACCUGAGUAAACUCAAGUGACCUAAAAAGUGUGCAAAAUAAAUACGGCAAAAUACAGUACAUAACAUCACAAAUCUGACUCACUUUUCUUUCCACCAGAGCACUUUCCUUUUGAACCUGGGUCUGCAGAGCCAUUGUUAUCUUGGCCACAAUCCUGUUUUGAGCCAUUGCAUUGGAGGGUUCUGAUGAUGCCACCAGAGUCAGAGCCUUCUGGAAAUAAUCCACAGCUUUUUUUACAUUAUUCUGAUUGAAUGCCACUGCUCCAAGCCCCUCACACACCUGCCACUGCGUUCUCUUGUCACCUACAGUAAGCAUUAAUAAAGAAAUUAUUUUGAAUCUCUAUCAACUGACACCAUCUUUGAGGGAACCUUCACAUAUUCUAUGAUUAUUAAUCAGUUAUGCAUUAAAAAGACAAUUUUCUCUUCAUUUCUCUGCAAAUUCUUUGGGUCAAUCACAUCAGCCAUUAAUGUAAGAAGAUUAAUAUCUACCUCUGGAAAUUGCUUGCAAAAUGUUUACAGGGUCAUAACUUUACACUGACUUAAGCCCCAGUCUGAUUAAAACCAGACCUUCAAUCUCGCUCCCCCUUUUUUUCUAUGUCUGCUCGUUAAAGGUCUGACAACACCGGCCUGUGGGUAACGUCAUAGGUUACUUUGUAUACAUUAAGAAUUGACCAAUCAAAUAGUCGUCUUCAAACUCUUGAAGACAAAUCGUGUACAGUGGGGAUGAUUUUUCUAGGGAACGGAAUUUUUAUAGGUUAUUUUGCAUCACUAAUCCGGAAAUUCGCAUUCCGGAUCCGAACGGUCACUUUUUACUACAAAACGUUAUAAUGCAUUGAAAAUUGUACCAUUAAUCCGGACGGUAAUUUUGUUUAGGGAAGGUCUGUGUCGGACAAUUUUAGCAAGGCGUAAAUUAUAAAGAAAACAAGCCAAACUGUAUAAUUGAAGCAAUUACCUGUACCCUGUCAACACCUCCUUAUGAUUAGGUGGUGUGUAAUGAUAUGUCAAUUAGAUACAUGUAGUAUGUGCCGAUCGAGACGUUGUAUUGCCAACUUUCGCACAUAAGAUCUUUCUUGCGAGUAGUGUUGAAUUUUGUAUAUAAAUCUGUAGCAUAUUAUUUUUAUAGUCUUGAUCAAUAGCCUAAUAGUAUCAAUAAAUUAAACAUCAUGCCGUAAUGAUAAUUUUGUUAACUGUUACAUGUGCUACACAUAUCAAUUGUACUGAUUCGUAAAUUGAUUAUCGGCUUAUGCAAAUCUAAAGAGUGUAGAUUAUACUUCUAGAUUCUGGAUUUAAUACUGUUGAUUGGCUUGAAAUAUACAUGUAUGUUCAUGCACAUGUAUAUGUAGUAAGUUUUUAACGUUUAGAAUGUCACGCAUGUAGAAUGUACCUGUGUACGAUUGAUUCUUGUUACGAUGUUGUAGAGCUUUAUUGCUUUCGAAUUUUCAAACUCUGGGUAGAAGUCAGAAAAUUACCAUUUUAAGGAAAAUGACAAUUAAAUUUUGUAUGUCAUAAUGUUAGUUUCACCCGAGUUUUGUUCCGUUAUUAUCGCAUCAUGAAAAUAAUAAGUGCGCGUGGCUAGAUCAAAGCAGUAGUAGGUCUUGAUAUUACGAGCUUAAAUGAUUUUUGUUCUCCCGAUAUUGUCUUGGAUAAUUAUAGAAUAAGAAAUAUAAACUCUGGCAGAUGGUAUUUUGGUUAAAGAAUGUUGUCAACUGACAUGAUAAUCACGAAAUUUUUAUAUCAACUUUGGACGAUGAAGAUUGUUUUAACAGACCGACGAACCCGUGAAUCGUGACAGAUGGAAAUUACCGGCCUCUUUAAGAAGUAAAAGUGUGAUGAAAUGUUUGAAGUGUAAAUGAUUAUGUUAGUUACUAAUGAUUCAUUUACGUAUAGUUACAUAAAGUGCUUCAUUAUUUGUUUUAGUGAAUACGGUACACAGUUUUGUAUAUUUAUUUGUAGGACUCAUAUACAUACAUGCCAACUUUCCCGAUUUGUGCGGGAUUCUCCCGAUUUGAAGCAGUUGAACAGGCAAAUCCCGAUAUCCCGAUCGGGAUUGCAAAAAUACCCCGAAGUCCCGAUUUUCUAAAAAUAUCUCCCAUUUUACGACAACAAACCCCCAUUUCCAACCGGAAUUUGAAAUACCGCGUCAUUUCUGAACUGGCCAAUCAGAAAUCGGGAAAAUAGUCAGCCAUGACGCAUGAUAUCGGAGCGGGGUGAUGUAAUUUACCUGGUCUGCCUGUGUCGGGGUGCUUAUUGGACAGUGCAAAGCAUGUUUUGAUAGUAAUUAAUCAGGAAGACGGAUUUCAAAUUGACAUAUCCUUUAUACAAACGUGAAUGACAACGAUAAUAGUGUCACCAUGCACCACCAAACAAUCGGACAUUCCCGAUUUUUUGCCUCUCGCUGACAGCAUCCAAAAUUUGCAAUAAGGUACGUAAAAUAUAUGUUUUUCCAACUAUAAUAAUGUAGGCUAUCCGAAUCUAUCUGUCUAUAGCGAUGUAUUUGCAUAGUCUAUAUAGUGUAGUAUUCAAUAGACUAUGUGAUGGGUAAUUCGCACAAGUCUGUACUGAAUUUUAUAUUAGCAAGUAGCCUUAAUUUACAAGUAAAAACGUAUAUUUUGAUGUGCUUUUUUCCUGGUAAUUAUUUCAGAUGUCAUGGGUGCAAAGGUUUUGUUCGCAAACUUCAUAGCAGGGCAGACUACUCCUUUUCUGGUUGCAAUGCAGAUUGUUCCACCAGACUCUGCAAGCCCAUGUUUACAGACAACCAAGAUCGCCUUUGUAGUUGUACCUUAAAUGCAUGUGCUUCAAUUUAAAUUUUGAUAUAUAGACCAGCCAAUGUGUAUAUGGUGUAAAAGGAUGCAACUUUAAGUAUUAUUUGAUAUUUGUAUGUGACUUGUUGGAGAGGAUUUUUUGUUGAAUAGAUGAUUUAAUAAAAUACUUAUGUAUAUCUUUCAAAGUGGUUUUUUUUUUUUUUAUAGUUUUGUUCAAGUCAAUGGUCAAACACACUUGAUGUUGUGUUAUGAAAAGACAAAUAUUUAUUUUCAUGGUAAAAUGUCGUGAAUAUUGAGUGUUGAAAAAAGGUCGCCGCGCGCAAAAUCCCCCAUGGGGAUUUUCAAAAGUUGGCAUGUAUGCAUAUAUACGUACAAUGUAAGCACAGGCAAAUACACUGAACACGUAUUAUAUUUUAGUGCUUUGAAAUACAUGUAAAUGUUAACAUCAUAAUUUAUUUACUAAUGCAAAUGGUCAAAUCCAAUGAUAGAAUGUGUUUAAUUCACUAUGCAUCAAUAAAGUAGGCAUAUAUUGGUUACUUAUGUAAAAAAUAUGCGAUUCAAUUAUCCGGACGCUUCAUUUAUCUGGACGAUUUUGCUGGGAACCAAAGUGUCCGGAUUAACGAGGCUCCACUGUAUAACACCUAUUCUCAUAUAAUGUGGACACUUUUUCUGAAGAAUUUUAAAAAAAUAAAGUUUUUAGAAUACUUUUUUGAAUGAUAGGUUAUGAAAGAAGAAGAUUCAUAACAUAAAAUUUCAAAAAUUGAACACUCAACCACAAAUCAUUAAAAAAUAAUGCUCAGUGGAAUAGAUCUGUCCAUUUUCAGUUUGUAAUCUACGUUAUCUACACAGUUUAGUAAAA